rnacentral:tRNA from 1 species
AAUGAUGUGCCUGAUAAAAGGACUAUUUUGAUAGAAUAGAUUAUGUAUUUCAUUAUACCAUCAUUA